rnacentral:rRNA from 1 species
UACGGGAGGCAGCAGUAAGGAAUAUUGGACAAUGGUCGCAAGACUGAUCCAGCCAUGCCGCGUGCAGGAUGAACGAUCUAUGAUCUGUAAACUGCUUUUGUUCGGGAAUAAACCCCUUCACGUGUGGAGGGCUGAAUGUACCGAAAGAAUAAGGGUCGGCUAACUUCGUGCCAGCAGCCGCGGUAAGACGAAGGACCCAAGCGUUAUCCGGAUUUAUUGGGUUUAAAGGGUGCGUAGGCGGGUUGUUAAGUCAGUGGUGAAAGCCUAGAGCUUAACUCUAGAAUUGCCAUUGAUACUGACGAUCUUGAGGAUAGUUGAGGUGGGCGGAAUGUAUCAUGUAGCGGUGAAAUGCUUAGAGAUGAUACAGAACACCGAUUGCGAAGGCAGCUCACUAAGCUAUUUCUGACGCUGAGGCACGAAAGCGUGGGGAUCAAACAGGAUUAGAUACCCUGGUAGUCCACGCCCUAAACGAUGAUUACUCGAUGUGUGCGAUAUACUGUACGCGUCUAAGCGAAAGCA